rnacentral:rRNA from 1 species
ACGGGGGCCCGCACAAGCAGCGGAGCAUGUGGUUUAAUUCGAAGCAACGCGAAGAACCUUACCUAGACUUGACAUCUCCUGAAUUACCCGUAACUGGGGAAGCUCUUCGGAGCAGGAAGACAGGUGGUGCAUGGUUGUCGUCAGCUCGUGUCGUGAGAUGUUGGGUUAAGUCCCGCAACGAGCGCAACCCUUAUCGUUAGUUGCUACCAUUAAGUUGAGCACUCUAGCGAGACUGCCCGGGUUAACCGGGAGGAAGGUGGGGAUGACGUCAAAUCAUCAUGCCCCUUAUGUCUAGGGCUACACACGUGCUACAAUGGUGAGGACAAAGAGACGCAAGACCGCGAGGUGGAGCAAAUCUCACAAACCUCAUCCCAGUUCGGAUUGCAGGCUGAAACUCGCCUGCAUGAAGCCGGAGUUGCUAGUAAUCGCGAAUCAGCAUGUCGCGGUGAAUACGUUCCCGGGCCUU